AUCUAUUGGCCAUGUGUAUGACUUUUUUACGAGAAAUGACUGUUCAGGUCCUUUAUCUAUUUUUAAAUUGGAUUAUUUGUUUUCUUAGUAUUGAGUUGUUUGAGGUGUUUCUUAGCAUCUAUUGUUUGAGUUCCUUGUAUAUUUUGCAUAUUAACCCCUUAUCAAAUGUAUGGUGUGCAAAUAUUUUCUUCCAUUCUGUAGGUUGUCUCUCCACACUGUUGAUAUUUUCUUUGCUGUGCAGAAGCUUCUCAGUUUGAUGUAAUCUCAUUGAUCUAUUUUUGCUUUUGUUGCCCCUGCUUUGGAGGUUAUAGCCAAAAGAUCAUUGCCCAGAACAAUGUCAUGGAGCUUUUGUCUUCUGGUAUCUUCUAGUAGUUUUACAGUUUCAGGCCAUAUGUUUAAGUCCUUAGUCCACUUUGAAUUGAUGUUUUGCAUAUGGUGUGAGAUAAGGGUCUAAUUUAAUUCUUGUGCAUGUAGGUAUCCAUAUUUCCCAACGCCAUUUACUGAAGAGACAGUUCAUUUUUCAUUGUGUUUUCUUGGCAUCUUUGUCCAAAAUCAAUUGAGAGUAAAUGUGUGAAUCUAUUUCUGGGCUCUCCAUUCUGUUCCAUUGGUCUAAGUGUCUGUUUUUAUGCCAGUACCAUGAUGUUUAGAUUAUUAUAGCUUUGUAGUAUAUCUUGAAGUCAGGUAGUAUGAUGCCUCCAGCUUUGUUCUUUUUGCCCAGGAUUUCUUUGGCUAUUUGGGGUCUUUCAUGGUUCCAUAUGAAUUUUAGGACUGUUUUUUUCUAUUUCUCUCAAAAAUGUCAUUGGAAUUUUGAUAGGAAUUUCACUGAAUCUGUAAUUCACUCUGGGUAGUAUGGACAUUUUAACUAUAUUAAUUCUUCUAAUCCAGGAAUGUGAGAUAUCUUUCCAUUUAUUUGUGUCUCCUUCAAUUUUUUUCAUCAGUGUUUAAUAGUUUUCAGUGUACAGAUCUUUCACCUCCUUGGCUAAAUUUACUCCUAUUUUAUUUUUUGAUGCUACUGUAGAUGGGAUUGUCUUUUUAAUUUCUUUUUCAGAUAGCUCAUUGUUAAUGUGUAGAAACACUACUAAUUUUUGUAUAUUGAUUUUGUAUCCUGCAAUUUACUGAAACUUUUUUUAGUUCAACAGCUUUUUCUUGGUGGUGUCUUUAGGGUUUUUGGUGUAUAAGAUUACGUUGCCUGCAAACAGAGACAAUUUUUUUCUGAUUUGGAUGCCUUUUAUUUCUUUCUCUUGCCUAAUUGCUCUGGCUAGGACUUUUAAUUAUCCCACAGAGUUUCUGGUGGUCAGAAAUCUGAGGGUGGUUUUGCUUGUUCACUGUUGGUGGUAGCAUGCUACUGUGUGGCCUCUGGAAUCCUAUCAUCUCCAUGACUACUAGGGACCCUAGUUCUGAAAUAGCAUCUCUUAUCAUCAACUCUGGUCUACAGAGGAGAGCCACCACUCACCUCAAUGACACUGGUGUCCUCUACCAGCAAUUUCCUUAUUGCCUUGAUGCAUAAGUCCUCCAUACUCUUUCAAGAAUCAUAUUUAGCUGAUAAGUUUCCAGUUUCACAUAGUAGACCCUGUUUAGCAUGUACACUUUGGUGGGCCUUUCAAUCCCUUCCUCCACUCUGCCUGGCAACUCUGGCACCUCCACUUGAUUUAAUAGGGGCCACUGCUCUUACAAUCUCCUGAAGUCCAUCCCAACUAGAAAAACUAUUGGCUUGAUUGAUAGUUUAUUUUCAUUUCACCCAUAUAUUUCACUAAACUUUCUUCUGGCUUAGGAUUCAGCUGGAGUGAUGUGUGAUCCUGAGCUCUGAUUGGUGUUCCAAUUUUUCCCAUAAAAUUGAGGUUAAUACAAAGUGCAUGAGAUCAUUAUAAUCAGCUCAGUAAAAAGAACUGUGGGCACAAGAAGAGGUCAGAGAGUCCACAGAAGAGGAACAGACCCGGGAACAAAUAGCUUAAACUUACAAAAGAGCUAGCAUGAAGUCCUAUUUUUCAGGAAGAGGUGUCUAUAUAAGGCCAAUGUGAGGUUCAUUUUCAGGCAAUUUAUUAAUGUUAAUUGAGAGCUUUUUCUUCGUUUCAAAUAUUAUAGCCUUAUUUUUCCUGUCUGAACUCAAUAAACAGCUAGUAAAAUUAGCCAACAUGGACAAAAAUUAACACGGAAAAGGCCUGUGGUCAUAAAACACAUUAACUAUUCAGCAUUGAGACUAUUUUUAUUUCUAUCUUCUGCCAGAAAAUUAGCAGCAAUUAAAACUAUAAUUUUUUUUCUUAUUUCCAUAUAGGCCUGAGAGGUUAAAAUAGAAAGUUAAAUAACGUGAGUGACAUACCAAAUGACCCAGCAAGUGUUUGACUGAGAUAAGUUUUAACACUUCUGCUAAAAAAUUGAAAAACUGUCACUUCCUUGUUAGAGCUGAAAAUAGUCAGCUCUUACAAAUUGUUCUUCCUGAUGCAAAUCCAUAUUAAGCUUUGUAUUAUUAACACGAAUCACUCAAAACAAUUCCAAAUGGGACUUAGGGAGAAUUGUGUAAUAAAUAAUACUAGAUUGUUGAUAAAGCAUUUAAUCCAGUUUAAAUGAGUGCUUUACCCCAAGAGAGCUGACUUGAGCUUUUUUUCCUUUCCUUCUAUAAAUUCAAGGCCUACAUACAAAUUCAAUUUAAUAAAUAUGUAUUAUGCAGCUGUUAGGUAAAAAUUCAGUGACUAGGUGCUUCCAGGACUACAAAUGUGAAGAAGAUGUAGUGAAUACUAUGUAAAUUACAAUGUAAUUGUGGUAAUGAAUAUGAAAAAUGUAUAAUUUAUUACAAUGGAAGGCAGCAUAAAAACUGACUAUUCAGUGAAGGUGUGGAUUACUUUUAAUGUGAUGAAAAAGGAAUUUAUAAAAGAAAUGAUAUUUGGGGUAGGCUUAGAAGUCUGUGCAGCAUUUCAGAAGUUGGUGACGGCCCUUUAGGGUGAUCAUUCUGGGGAAGGGUCUUUCUUUCAUGAAACAGGUAAUGGAGAACUGAAAGCUCAUGGUGUGUUCAGAGAACAGCUAGCAGAGGAGAGGAGGAAAGAAGAGAAGGAAGGAAGAAGAUCAAGCUGAAAUGGCUGGCCAUGGUGGCUACAACUGGAGCAGCCAUUUGGGUGGUGAGGUGAGUUCAAGAUGGAAGCCAAGCACAACCUAGAAGGACCCUGACUCCCUGACACCAUGGUUUGCCAUAUGGGACCUGGACUGAUUCCCUUUGGAACUUUAUCUGAGAGAAAUAAACUUCUGUCUUGCUUAAGCCAUUUUUAUGGUGUCUUUCUGUCAUUUGUAGCUAAUCCUAAUCCUAAUUUUUACAUUAUCCUUCCAUAAGCUGUGAAGAGCCACAAAAAGUUUUAU
rnacentral:lncRNA from 10 species